rnacentral:rRNA from 1 species
AGAGUUUGAUCAUGGCUCAGAACGAACGCUGGCGGCGUGCUUAACACAUGCAAGUCGAACGGGAUCCAGAGCUUGCUCUGGUGAGAGUGGCGCACGGGUGAGUAACGCGUGGAUAACCUGCCCUGGUAUCCGGAAUAACAUCUCGAAAGGGGUGCUAAUACCGGAUAAGCCUACGGAGCCUUCGGUCUCUGCAGGAAAAGGUGGCCUCUAUUUAUAAGCUACCGUAUCAGGAUGGGUCCGCGUACCAUUAGCUAGUUGGUGGGGUAAUGGCCUACCAAGGCGACGAUGGUUAGCUGGUCUGAGAGGAUGAUCAGCCACACUGGAACUGAGACACGGUCCAGACUCCUACGGGAGGCAGCAGUGGGGAAUUUUGCGCAAUGGGGGAAACCCUGACGCAGCAACGCCGCGUGAGUGAUGAAGGCUUUCGGGUCGUAAAGCUCUGUCAGAGGGGAAGAAAUGAGAUUGGCUAAUAUCCAAUUUUCUUGACGGUACCCUCAAAGGAAGCGCCGGCUAACUCCGUGCCAGCCGCCGCGGUAAUUC